rnacentral:rRNA from 1 species
AUCAUAAUAACUUAACGAAUCGCAUGGCCUUGCGCCGGCGAUGGUUCAUUCAAAUUUCUGCCCUAUCAACUUUCGAUGGUAAGGUCUUGGCUUACCAUGGUCUCAACGGGUAACGGGGAAUUAGGGUUCGAUUCCGGAGAGGGAGCCUGAGAAACGGCUACCACAUCCAAGGAAGGCAGCAGGCGCGCAAAUUACCCAAUCCCAAUCCGGGGAGGUAGUGACAAUAAAUACUGAUACAGGGCUCUUUUGGGUCUUGUAAUUGGAAUGAGUACAAUCUAAAUCCCUUAACGAGGAACAAUUGGAGGGCAAGUCUGGUGCCAGCAGCCGCGGUAAUUCCAGCUCCAAUAGCGUAUAUUAAAGUUGUUGCCGUUAAAAAGCUCGUAGUUGAACCUUGGGCCUGGCUGAUCUGUCCUCCUAAUCGAGCGCACGGAUUCGGUCGGGCCUUUCCUUCUGGGGAGCCCGAUGCCCUUCACUGGGCGUCGUGGGGAACCAGGACUUUUACCUUGAAAAAAUUAGAGUGUUCAAAGCAGGCCUUUGCUCGAAUACAUUAGCAUGGAAUAAUAGAAUAGGACAGAGGUUCUAUUUUGUUGGUUUCUAGGACCGCUGUAAUGAUUAAUAGGGAUAGUCGGGGGCGUCCGUAUUCAAUUGUCAGAGGUGAAAUUCUUGGAUUUAUUGAAGACGAACUACUGCGAAAGCAUUCGCCAAGGAUGUUUUCAUUAAUCAGUGAACGAAAGUUAGGGGAUCGAAGACGAUCAGAUACCGUCGUAGUCUUAACCAUAAACUAUGCCCGACUAGGGAUCGGACGGUGGUUUUUUUAUGCCCCGUUCGGCACCUUACGA